rnacentral:rRNA from 1 species
ACUACGGGGGGCAGCAGUAGGGAAUAUUGCUCAAUGGGGGAAACCCUGAAGCAGCAACGCCGCGUGUAGGAUGAAGGUUUUCGGAUUGUAAACUCCUUUUGUUAGAGAAGAUAAUGACGAUGUCUAUCGAUUUAGCACCGGAUAACUCCGUGCCAGCAGCCGCGGGAAUACGGGGGGUGCAAGCGUUACUCGGAAUCACUGGGCGUAAAGAGCGAGUAGGCGGGAUAGCAAGUCAGAUGUGAAAUCCUAUGGCUUAACCAGAGAACUGCAUUUGAAACUGUUAAGCGAGAGUAUGGGAGAGGUAGGUAGAAUGCUUGGGGUAGGGGUGAAAUGCGUAGAGAUCAAGAGGAAUACUCAUUGCGAAGGCGACCUGCUAGAACAUAACUGACGCUGAUGCGCGAAAGCGUGGGGAGCAAACAGGAUUAGAUACCCCUGUAGUC